rnacentral:lncRNA from 1 species
GCCUGGGAAAAACAUCAAUUUUCUAAAGUUAGAAAUAGGAAUGGCGCAUAAAACCUUACAGAUAUCCUGAUGCUGGGUAGUACUUAACUUGUGUAGUCCUAAAAUAGUUAGUGUAAAAUAGUUCCACCAUCUCUGAGAUUCCACUGCCAAUGUUACACAACAUUGUGUAUGUUGUGUGAUAUACCUUUAUCAGACAUGCCUAGUCCAACUUUUUUUUUCAUUCAGUCACAUCCUGGGAUCCAGUGUUAAAUCCAAUAUCGCAUGUCUUAUGUAUAACUGUUCUAAAGGAUUUUAUUUUGUGUAUUAUAUGUAUCUUGCAGUGUACAUUUCCAUAUAAUGUAAAAGAAAGAUCUACAAAUGAACAUUGCAACCAGCUAUCCAAGUGUCACACCAACUGAAAUAUCAAAUAAACCUUGAACAGUGAAAAAAAGAGCUCAUAUAACUUAAUAAGAAGAAAACACAACAUUC